rnacentral:lncRNA from 1 species
UUUUAAUUAUAUUUUUUGUAGAAUUUAAUUUUUUAACCCUCUUUUCUAAAAAAUAGUAAAAAAAACUAUUCUAACCCUAAGUUUCUACCUAUCCGCGGCGCGCCCCCAUUCCCAAAAUUUGAAACCAUUUCAAUUUCCAAGCUUCCAGUUCCAGCGGCGCUUCUUCUCCUCUUCUCCACGCACGCCGCGCCGUCUGUUGCUGCCGUCAACGUCUGCCAGGCUCGUCGCACGCCGCCGGUCGCCCUCCGUCUGCUGCUGCC